CCUGGCCGUUAAGCCUGUCCAUUGCGGAAGGCUGAAUUUAUCUCGCUGAUUUCAGGAGCUUUAUUAUGCGUA
rnacentral:sRNA from 1 species